UUCAUGUUCGCUUCUUAUCUCCUCUACCGCUGCUCUCCAAGAAAUCCAAGAAACGCAAGAAAGAAGUGCAGAAGAAAAGAUUAUUGUCUCUUCUACUGCUAUGUGUCAAGAAAUCCAAGAAACGCAAGAAAGAAGUGCAGAAGAAAAGAUUCUUAUCUCUUCUACUGCUAUGUGUCAAGAAAUCCAAGAAACGCAAGAAAGAAGUGCAGAAGAAAAGAUUCUUAUCUCUUCUACUGCUAUGUGUCAAGAAAUCCAAGAAACGCAAGAAAGAAGUGCAGAAGAAAAGAUUCUUGGAGGCUCCGCCCAUGCCACAUUGGAGAAGAGCGAGAGUCAUCAUUCCGUAGAAAACAGUCCUUCCGUGAAAACCAUCACUCUUCCCAUUCUGUCUUGGAAAACUUGGAGGAGAAAGCGAAUUUAAGCGCGGCGCAUCAACCCGCGAACUUGGAGCAAGCGUGGCGCAUCAGGUUGGAGGAAGGAAAUUCAAGCGCGGUGCAUCAAUCCCCGAACUUGGAGGAAAGGAAUUCAAGCGCUGGGAAGCGAAUCCAACCCCCUCAUCAACCCGCGACCAAAAUCGAGGGAAGAUGUCGAGUGGGAAGAGGUGGUUGGACCAUGCUUGAGGCGUUGAGCGAGAGAGUGCUAGUACCCGAGGCGUGAGCGACUGGCCCUGAAGGAUUAGUGUAAAUUAGGGCAUUACAAACUUAUGUCGUAUGGGGCGAGGCAUCAACCUAUCUGUUUUAUGUUUUUAUAGCCAAGAUUUGUGUUAUAUGGGUCAAGGCACCAACAUACCAACGUUAUCUGUUUUGUAUUUUUAUGGCCCACGGCUAUCGUUUCCUCGCAAUUUCAUGGUAUAUUUAUAGUUCUACUCUCUCCUAUGGAAUGCAAGCUCAGCGCAUCAAACCGUGAACUUGGAGGAAGGGAAUUCAAGCGCAUCAAUCUGCGAACUUGGAAGAAUGGAAUUCAAGCGUUGGGGAAGCGAAUCCAACCGCCAUGCAUCAACCUGCAAUCAAUGAAGGUGCCCCAAAUGGCCUGUUCUCCGCCAGGCCUACUGAUGUUAUCAUUGCAAGGCGGUAGCAGCAGCAAUCUACUUCCCCAAAAAGGAUCUCUACCAGGCCCUUAGAUAUUCGUUCAAGGCAUUGGUUUGACUGCCUAAGGAUGAUUCACAUAGGGAUCACCUUCAUCGGCAUUUGUAUCGUAAUGCUUGCCGUGGUCGCCUUGUUAGCCGUGUUUUAGUUGUUUUAGAUAUUUUACCGUUUCCAAGUUGAAAUGCACAGAUUUUAAACCAUGACGUAAAUCGCCAUGCCAAUUUGUCCUGUCAUUUACUGAGAUCCAAUCUUUUGGAA